CAGAGGACCCUGUUUCCUGGGGAAUGGAAAGGAGCCCAGCAGCUGAGCAGCCUCAAGAUGGAGAACUGUAGGAAGAACAAGUCUAAGGCUAGGCAAUCCAAAUCAGUCCCCAGACUUAGCGGCUGCAGGACCCAGGUGACGGCCUGCAGGGAGCGUGGCUUCUCCGUGAACAGCGAGCAGCUGCUGAUCUUCUUCCUGGCUAUCUGGUUCUUCUAUUUCUUCUACCUCCAGGACUAACUCGAUAGAGUCUCCUUUCCACCAGCUCAGGGAUUGGCUGAGGGUCAGAGCCUUGGCCCCAUCAGGCAGCUGACCAGGCCUCACCUGUUAACUUAGGGGGGGAUGAAGACCCAGAGCCCGGAGCUGCCACCCACCUUCUGUUCUCACAAGACCAUGGGUCUUCAGUUUUGUGCCUUCAUUGAGUAUGUGACCCCAUUAACAGGCAGAGGACAUGUCAUCUCUGGAAGGCAAAGUUGAAGCUGCAUAUUCUUGGUAGAUGGUGUUGAGCAUGGAAACUAUUUUGUGCCUGGCCUCAGGCCCAGUUUCUAAUGAGAAAUAAAUGUCCACUGGGCC
rnacentral:lncRNA from 1 species